GACGAACGCUGGCGGCGUGCUUAACACAUGCAAGUCGAACGGAAAGGCCCUGCUUUUGUGGGGUGCUCGAGUGGCGAACGGGUGAGUAACACGUGAGUAACCUGCCCUUGACUUUGGGAUAACUUCAGGAAACUGGGGCUAAUACCGGAUAGGAGCUCCUGCUGCACGGUGGGGGUUGGAAAGUUUCGGCGGUUGGGGCUGGACUCGCGGCUUACCAGCUUGUUGGUGGGGUAGUGGCUUACCAAGGCUUUGACGGGUAGCCGGCCUGAGAGGGUGACCGGCGACAUUGGGACUGAGAGACGGCGCAGAAUCCUACGGGAGGCAGCAGUGGGGAAUAUUGCGCAAUGGGCGGAAGCCUGAUGCAGCAACGCCGCGUGCGGGAUGACGGCCUUCGGGUUGUAAACCGCUUUCGCCUGUGACGAAGCGUGAGUGACGGUAAUGGGUAAAGAAGCACCGGCUAACUACGUG
rnacentral:rRNA from 1 species